rnacentral:rRNA from 14 species
UAAGCCAUGCAUGUCUAAGUAUAAACAACUUUGUACUGUGAAACUGCAGAUGGCUCAUUAAAUCAGUUAUCAUUCCUUUGAUGAUUACCUACUCCAUGGAUAACUGUGGUAAUUCUAGAGCUAAUACAUGCGCAGAGUCCCGACUCGUUGAGGGGAGGGAUGUAUUUAUUAGACGAAAAACCCACGGGGUCUUCGGGCCUCUUUUACACCGGUGAUUCAUAAUAACUGUUCGGAUCGCAUGGCUUUCACGCCGGCGACAGAUCAUUCAAAUUUCUGCCCUAUCAGGUUUCGAUGGUAGGAUAGAGGCC